UGGGGAAUAUUGGACAAUGGGCGCAAGCCUGAUCCAGCAACGCCGCGUGGAGGACGAAGGCCUUAGGGUCGUAAACUCCUGUCAGUAGGGACGAAAAAGUAGGGUCGAACAGGCCCUGCCAUUGACGGUACCUGCAGAGGAAGUCCCGGCUAACUCCGUGCCAGCAGCCGCGGUAAUACGGAGGGGACAAGCGUUAUUCGGAUUUAUUGGGCGUAAAGGGCGCGUAGGCGGCUUGAUAAGUCAAAGGUGAAAUCCCUCGGCUCAACCGGGGAACUGCCUUUGAAACUGUCUGGCUAGAGUUCGGGAGAGGGUAGGGGAAUUCCUAGUGUAGCGGUGAAAUGCGUAGAUAUUUGGGAGGAACACCAGUGGCGAAGGCGGCUCACUGGCUCGAUACUGACGCUGAGGUGCGAAAGUGUGGGGAGCAAACAGGAUUAGAUACCCUGGUAGUCCACACCGUAAACGAUGAAUGCCAGUCGUCGGGUAGCAUGCUAUUCGGUGACA
rnacentral:rRNA from 1 species